UACCCCUAUGCCUACUUUUUAUCUGUCAGC
rnacentral:piRNA from 1 species